GGUUUCUUGGUGUAGUUGGUUAUCACGACUGCCUAACACGCAGUCGGUCGCCAGUUCGAGCCUGGCAGAAAUCA
rnacentral:tRNA from 15 species